rnacentral:rRNA from 1 species
AGUGGCGGACGGGUGAGUAACGCGUGGGCAACCUGCCUUACACAGGGGGACAACAGCUGGAAACGGCUGCUAAUACCGCAUAAGCGCACGGUCUCGCAUGAGACAGUGUGAAAAACUCCGGUGGUGUAAGAUGGGCCCGCGUCUGAUUAGCUGGUUGGUGGGGUAACGGCCUACCAAGGCGACGGUCAGUAGCCGACCUGAGAGGGUGACCGGCCACAUUGGGACUGAGACACGGCCCAAACUCCUACGGAAGGCAGCAG